UACGUAGGGUGCAAGCGUUGUCCGGAAUUAUUGGGCGUAAAGAGCUCGUAGGCGGUUUGUCGCGUCUGCUGUGAAAAGCCCGGGGCUCAACCCCGGGUCGGCCGUGGCAACUGUCGAGCUGGAGCACUGUAGAGGCAGGUGGAAUUCCGGGUGUAGCGGUGGAAUGCGUAGAGAUCCGGAAGAACACCGGUGCGAAGGCGGCUGCUGGGCAGUGCUGACGCUGAGAGCGAAAGCGUGGGGGAGCGAACAGG
rnacentral:rRNA from 1 species